AACGAACGCUGGCGGCAUGCCUAGCACAUGCAAGUCGAACGAGACCUUCGGGUCUAGUGGCGCACGGGUGCGUAACGCGUGGGAAUCUGCCCUUGGGUUCGGAAUAACACAGAGAAAUUUGUGCUAAUACCGGAUGAUGUCUUCGGACCAAAGAUUUAUCGCCCAGGGAUGAGCCCGCGUAGGAUUAGCUAGUUGGUGGG
rnacentral:rRNA from 1 species